CGUUCUUCCAAAUUCUCCUGUAGAACCUUCACAGGACAACACAGGGCAGGAAAGAAAAAAACGUUGUGUUGAGCCGGUCAUAGAGGACCUAGUUUGGGGGUUAGCAGAGAACUUCAAUAUUGAAAGUUGCACCAGGCAACUCGAGGUCAUCAUUCAGCGUCUGGUUGAAAAGAUUUUGUCCAAAGUCAAGUAUGUGGACUUUGACCUCAAACUAAAAUCCUUCAAGAACUUGCACAAGGAGAUGUACAAUGAGCUGUACAAGAUGAAGGGCGGUAGAGCAGAUUUGCUGCUCUGCUUGAUAUUGGGGGACGAGGAAGUUGAAGAUUGCAUCGUCUCCAUCAUCAUAAAUCACGUGGGGCAGAGAAGCGGUAUCUGCAAGUUCUUCAGCCGCGUGGGCCAAGCCUUCAACAACAUCUUUAGGCAAAACAACAGUAUACAUCCAAUGCCUGACAAAGCCUGAGACAGUCGUGGAACAGUCUGUAAGACAGUUGGUGGGACAGUCAUGGGACUGUCGUGGAACAGUCGUGAGACUGUCGUAGGACAGUCGUGAGACUGUCGUGGGACUGUCGUGGGACAGUCGUGGGACAGUCGUGAGACAGUCGUGGAACAGUCGUGAGACUGUCGUGGGACUGUCGUGGAACAGAAGUUGAAGAUUGCAUCGUCUCCAUCAUCAUAAAUCACGUGGGGCAGAGAAGCGGUAUCUGCAAGUUCUUCAGCCGCGUGGGCCAAGCCUUCAACAACAUCUUUAGGCAAAACAACAGUAUACAUCCAAUGCCUGACAAAGCCUGAGACAGUCGUGGAACAGUCCGUAAGACAGUUGGUGGGACAGUCAUGGGACUGUCGUGGAACAGUCGUGAGACUGUCGUAGGACAGUCGUGAGACUGUCGUGGGACUGUCGUGGGACAGUCGUGAGACAGUCGUGGGACAGUCGUGGGACAGUCGUGGAACAGUCGUGAGACUGUCGUGGGACUGUCGUGGAACAGUCGUGAGACUGUCGUGGGACUGUCGUGAGACAGUCGUGAGACUGUCGUCGUGAGACUGUCGUAGACUGUCGUGGGACAGUCGUGAGACAGUCGUGGGACAGUCGUGGGACAGUCGUGGGACAGUCGUGGAACAGUCGUGGAACAGUCGUGAGACUGUCGUGGGACUGUCGUGGAACAGUCGUGAGACUGUCGUGGGACUGUCGUGAGACAGUCGUGAGACAGUCGUGAGACAGUCAUGGGACUGUCGUAGGACAGUCGUGAGACAGUCGUGGAACAGUCGUGAGACUGUCGUGAGACUGUCGUGGGACUGUCGUGGGACUUUCUGCGAGACAGUUGUGAGAAGUCUAAGACGGUCGGUGAGACAGUCUUACAGACGUAAGAAAGUUGGUGGGACAGUGUGUGAGGCAGUCGGUGGAACAGUCCGAGACAGCCAUGGGACGAAGGACAGUCGUGAGACAGUCAUGGGACUGUCGUAGGACAGUCGUGAGACAGUCAUGGGACUGUCUGCGAGACAGAUUUCCGGCGGAACAGAGCCCCACCCUCCCCCAUCACCCUGUGUGACUCCCCCGUCACUAUUGUGGAUUCCUUCCGUUUCCUGGGCUCCAUCAUCACCCAGGACCUCAAGUGGGAGCUGAACAUCAGCUCCAUCACCAAGAAGGCUCAUCAGAGGUUGUUCUUCCUGAGGCAGCUGAAGAAACUCAACCUGCCAAAGACGAUGAUGGUCCACUUCUACACGGCCAUCAUCGAGUCCAUCCUCGGCUCCUCCAUCACCGUCUGGUACGCUGCAGCCACAGCCAAGGACAAGGGCAGGCUUCAGCGGGUCAUCCGCUCUGCAGAGAGGGUGAUCGGCUGCAAUCUGCCGUCCCUGCAGGACUUGUUCGCUUCCAGGUCUCUGAAGCAAGCUAAAAAGAUCGCGGCCGACCCCUCCCACCCCGGACAAAAACUGUUUGUGCCCCUUCCAUCUGGCAGGAGGCUGAGGUCCAUCAGGACUACGACCUCCCGCCACACGAACAGUUUCUUCCCGUCGGCAGUCGGGCUCAUCAACAGAGCCCGAUCCCCCACUGCCUGACUAUAACACUCCACCGGUCACUCCCCCUCAUACUGCACAUGCCACUUUAACUGCAAUUCAUCACUUUGUCACUUGUCACUUUGUCUCUUGUCUGUUACUUGUUUGUUAGUGCACUUUAUGCUUAAUAUUUUUCUUUAACUUUUUAAUAUUUAAAUUUUUUUUAACUUUAUUCCCUUGUUUUAUACUAACCCAUAGCCUUAGCCUUAUUCUACUAACCCAUUGCACUAGCAUUUCAUUCUACUUUAUUACUUGUGCACUGUUGUCUUGUCUGUCUACUGUCGCGCACUAACCGCCAAGACAAAUUCCUUGUAUGUUUGACAUAUUUUGGCUAAUAAAUAUUUCCUGAUUCCUGAUUCCUGAAGCCUGUAAGACGGUCGGUGAGACAGUCUUACAAACGAGCUGAAUGAGCUCUACUGCAGAUUCAAUAGACAAUGUCCUGAUCCCAUCCCCCACAGCUCCACCAACCUGCCCCAGUCCCCCACGUUAUGGUCCGGCUCAAAGGCCACAACAAAUAAGAGGAAAUCACGCUCCAGGGAGAACCAGCCAAAGAUGUUUAUUCACCAAACUGAUUAAACAAACAAAACACAGCAAAGGGAAACACUAUUGUGCUGGGGACCAGGAGAACCCCAAGCAGUCAACCCCAAACAAUCAGAAAGGGCAGGUUUUAAUGCACUCAAGAGACAGCGGACAGCUGCGUCGAAUCUGCCUUAUGGCCUCAGCUCCACUCCACCAGGAAGUUUACCCGGUAACACACACACAGAC
ensembl:lncRNA